AACGAACGCUGGCGGCGUGCCUAACACAUGCAAGUCGAGCGCGAAUGGAGCAAUCCUAGUAGCGCGGCGCACGGGUGCGUAACACGUGGGUAAUCUGCCUGGGAGACCGGAAUAACCUGCCGAAAGGCUGGCUAAUACCGGAUAAGCCCACGGACUCUUCGGAGUCUGAGGGAAAAGGUGGCCUCUGUAUACAAGCUAUCACUUCCAGAUGAGCCCGCGGCCCANCAGCUCGUUGGCGGGGUAAGGCCCACCAAGGCAACGACGGGUAGCUGGUCUGAGAGGACGAUCAGCCACACUGGGACUGAGACAUGGUCCAGAGCUCUACGGGGUUUAGCAUGAAGGGA
rnacentral:rRNA from 1 species